GGAGCGGAAUCGUGGCUAUCGCCGUAGCUCGCCACGUAGAAUCAGUUGCGAGGAGUGGAGCAGCGUCCGUUGUCGCUAGUUGCCAGGGAGUAGUGGAGCCACGCAGCACUUGCCGCAGGGAGCGGAGCAGAAUCAUGGCCGUUGAUACAGUCUGUCGGAGAGUAAUGGGGUCGCGCAGGGUCCACCGCAGGGAGUGGAGCAGGGCUGCGACUGUUACUGCGGCCU
rnacentral:lncRNA from 1 species